AGCACAGACUGGGGCUGCAAGAGCAGACAGAAGGCUGGAGAGAAGCAACGACGAAAAGACCAUAUAACAGGAUUCCCAUUCAGAGUGACGUGUCACUGAAGGAAUACUUGUAUUACUGAACUUUCACACUCGAAGAGUGGACCAGAGAGGAAGAGACCUCCGAUAAUGUACCAGACAGACUCAAGAAGACAAAUAGAAACAAUUUUCUCUUCCUGCAUUAGACUCAAUCUGUCUGGUUCGGCAGGAUACACAGGCAUCACUGUGGCAUGGGAUGAGAAAACAUACGGAGCAUUUUAGGCAAGUUCUUAGGAGAAGACUUGAAAAAUGGGCAGUUGUUAGCUCCUGGAAGAAAAGGGAGGAGAGAGCAGUAUGACUCACAGCAGCUCGAAUACUCUGCGUUUUGUAUGCAGGAGGGGGGCUAGAGAGAGAUAGAGGGGAAAUGAGAGAGACACAGGGAAAGAAAUAGAGCAGACCUUAACAGACGCGAACAGUCGUCAGACAGGGAUGAAGACGGACGACGCAAGCCAGAGCCAGUGACUUCGAGACAGUGGGCCAAGUAAAUCAUCUUGCUGGAGGGUGAGGAAGGUGAGAAGUGGACGAGAGUUUAGGAUCUGACGGGUUUAGCAUGAGGGAAGGGUCACUGAAGAUUUGCUGCCUGAUGGACAUUGGAAUCAGGACUGCAAAGGACAGAAGGACCGGCUGAAAGGUACUUAAAACCGACUGUUUUGCUGUAGGGGGAGACUGGAUAACUGUAUAUUGAAAGGGUCACAUAUACUGUAGAAAAUGACCACAAAUGUGACAUAAGGGGAACAAAUCAGGCCACAGAGCAAAAAUCCAAGCAGGAAGAUUAAUUAAAGAAAAAAAAAGAAUGCAGAAUACAAUUGCUGCAGAUGAGAAAACAUCAGUCUGUGCAUCACACCGGGAACAGCAUGGAAACUUUAACUGUGACAACGACACAGCAAGAGAUUUCUGUUAAAUAUUCAUGCUGACAGGCCACUCUGGAAACAACUUGCUUCCUCCUCCACAGAGGGAAAACAGAAAAGAAAAGAAAACUGCUUUCAUUAUGUGGGACUUUUACGCUAGACAAGUUGGCAAGUGCACCAGGUUAUGUUGACGUCUUGCAGCGAAUUGAAACAGGACCAUGUCGUACUAGCCGCAACGUGGCCUGCUGGAGGUGCACGGUCAGUCAUGAAGAGAGAGGAUUGACAACUGGCAGAAGGACUGUAGCUGUGACUGUCAAGAGGAGGAAAUAAACAUUUGAGAGACCAUUAGAAUUACAUGGGGACUGCAGCCAUAUCUAUUCUAUGUGAGAUAAAUCUAUUCUUGGCUUUUACAGACAAUUGCAUUUUGUAUAGACUCUUGACCUGCUUUGAAAUCCACUAAGAGUUACUAAUUACUGCCAAAUAUAGAAUUUUUAAUUUCCUCUUGGACUGAAUAUAGAUAUUCCUCUUGGACUGAAUAUCAGAGUUGGCCUUAUUUUCAAAAUUUGCCCAGAGUUGGACUACUUUUACAGUUUGAGGAAGGAAACAUUUUUUUUUCUUCACAUCAACCAAAAUAAAGCAGGACAAUACACAGCCUCCAAUCCUGAAACCGUAGAAAGACCAGCUUUGUGUUAAUUUAUGCAAGGACUAUCGAGGAGCUCCGCUAAACAUGCUUGAGUGAUGCUGUAGACCUGUGUGUGCCUGCCAAGCUUUGAAGCCAGCUGUUUCUGAACAUUACCCCACCAAACUCCAUCCGUUAACACCCGGAGCUGCAUGUGUUGCAUGGAUGCUGCCCACCAGCCACAGGGCUGGACCUGAACAGCAGCGGUGAGCGGGGGCACCCGGAGGAGAAGAAUAGAAAGGAGAAAGAAAUCAACAGGCAAAAGGACUGGAAAAAAAACUGACAUCAUGCUCAGAUAAACAGAAGAAAGAAAAGAGUUUCUGGUUGCACCCUUGGGUACAAUGUGUGGCAUCGUGCCCUGUGGCGGUGGGGUUCUGUGAUGUUAACCAUGAUACCCGGCAGCCACUAUAUCUGCAGCACUCAUGCAAGAGAGGAUGACUCGACGAACGAUCGAGAGGAGCGGAUUUUAGCCGUGCUGGGCAUCAUCGGAACCAUUCUCAAUCUUUUAGUGGUCAUAUUCGUUUACAUCUACACCUCAGUCACAUAAGACCUUCAGACAGACUUGAACAAGAACUAUUGGUGCCAAACCAACAUCCUUACUGCCAUACAUCUCUUCAAGUAUUCAAUGUGCUUGGAGGGUUAGGUUAUUAUGUGCUUAGAUGGAAGGAUCCUUGGCAGUGUGUACAGCUGGAUUGUCGCCAACUGCAUCAAUUUACUGCUGUAAGAAUACUCCACAUUUACUGACAAUAGCUGCCAAAUGUCACAAUAGAGAGGAGUUGCAUGAGGCAUCUUGUCUCCCUUCCUUCUCAUAUUGAACUUUUCAUUUUAAGACCGCCUCAAGCCAAAUCAUUGCUGAUAGUGACUACCUGCGCUCAUGACUUGGUAUUUCUAUGAAAACGGGACUCCAUCCAAUGGUGGAUUUUACAGUGCUAUUUUUCAUACGAGACUAUAUGACACUGUUCAUAGGGUGGGCUUUGUUUUACUGCCACAUGAAUAUUUACCCAAACGGACCAAACAGAUUUAGCAGAUUGACUAAAUAGCCACUAAGAACUAUUGACUGAAGGACCUUUGUGCCUCUCCUUUAAAGUUGUAACUUAAUGAGUUCCACCUUUUUUGCAUAAUAUGAGUUGCUAUAGUUAGCAGCCUUUAAAAACCUUUCCAUGGACCUAAUGUGUCCAUACCUGAGCACACCCGAGGAGAGAUUCCUGGCAGUGCUCGGGGUUAUCGGUAUCAUGCUCAACCUCUUGCUGCUCGCCUUUGUCUACAUAUACACAUACAUAUGAGAAACUGCUUACUCAAACACACUAUGAGUACAUAUAAUAGUGUGCAUAAGGUAUAUUUCCUGUAAACAUGUAAAUAUCCUUGAGCUAAUACUGGGUUUCAUAUCUAUAUUACAUAUCUCAAAAUGAGAUAUUUAUGUCCUCUCUAUAUAUCUGAUAGUUUGACUGAAGUUUUGCAUCCUUAAAGUUGCAUUGCAUAAAGCCACCAAAGUCGAGAUGAACAUCAUGACGUUUACUUAAGCUUGCUUUGCCGUGACCGUAGCUCAGUUCUAACCAAACUGACCGAUAUAAUUGAAUUCAUGUUAUUUGCUCUUUAUGCCUUUUCAUGUUCAAACUAUAAAACACACCAAAGUGGAACAAGAGGGUGUCGACAAGUCAGUGUGGGCAACAGCUCAUCAUAACAGCAAAAGAUCCCUCUGUGGAUGCUCAGUGUCAUAGAAUAAUGGUUUAUAUUUUGUUUGCAUGCCUCUUUGAUUGGAUCGGUCAGGCAGUCACCGAGCACUGUCAGAGGUGGCAAAGUUUGAAACUCAGACAAUGUCACACAAAUCAAGAUAGUAUGAUGCUGCAAUGUAACUUAAAGACGCAGGAUGUUUACAAAGGAAAUGAGCAGAACUGCAGGGGAUUGUCUGACAUAAGAGGGCUUAAAGCAUCUGUGUAUGGUUUCUCAUCACAACAAGAUAACAAAGACUAUCUGCAAGUAGGUUCCAGCUUUCCCAUUGAUGGUGCAUGUCAGUGUGGAUAUGAUUUGUGUGCGUUUAAGGGAAGAGAAAAUGCAAAUGCCAAAAGAACAGGAAGGACAGGUAUGAAUCUUCAUCUGAUCCUCAUCAUUCUCUUCUCGACCAACAAACUAAAACCAGAGAAGACAUAAUACAAUCUGGACCCACAUGAAUCUCCGCAGCGAAGCACAUCACUUUUAUAUUGCCAUCAGUGUAUCUAACACCUGAGGACAAGCUGACACAUCAACCACAGAAAUAACCAGGGCAACCUGCAAAUUGCUUCCCUUAAUGAAAGUUUCCUUUUCUGGCUUGUGAAAAUAACUUUUUGAAAAAGAGUGUUUUAUCAUCAUUACAAUGAAAGUAGUAACAUUGUGCAUAUCUGCGCUAUUGGAUGAUUGUCUUCAGACAUACUGUUAAAAAAAACAACAACAACAACAACAAAAAAACACUGGCCAUGUCUAGACAAACAAGCAGUCGUGAAUUUUCUGAUUGCAUGACAAGCUUUCAUUCACAGUUUUUCAUCUCUGUUGAUACCUCAAACAGCAAAACAGAUACAAAUGAAUAUGUUCUAUAUUAUAUAUAAAUAUUUCAUAAGCAUCUUGCUAAUAGACCACACUUAGGGGACCCUUGAAAAUCAACAUGUUGCAUCACAUGCCAAAUGUAUAUGUAUAUUUCAACUUCAGUCUUUAUAUCUUGGGACAUCAAAUUUGGUUAGAAUAACGCUUAAGCUUUUGUUUAAGUAAACUAUAAAGUCAUUCCCAAAUACUGUAUAUAGAUUCAGAUGUGCGAUAUGUCAGAUAGGCGUACAUUUCAAUUUCUGUUUGUAGUCAACAAGUUAAUACUUAAAGAAUCCAACUUCAGACAAGGCGACCUAUUAGCAAAACUGCUUUAAAGGUCCCGUGUUUUGGCUAUUUAGACCUCCUUAGAGUGACUCUGAUACAUUGACUUACUAUAAAAGUGUCUAUUUCAAUUUUUUUUUAAAACACCUUGGUUUUGUCAUACGAGUGUCCAGAAAAGGCCCCUCUGACAGCUACUUCUGUUUGACACAGUUUUGUAUCCACUUUGUCCAUAUUUGGCAAAGACCGCCCCCUUUCCUCUGAUUGAUUGCCUCCGUGUAGAAGACUCACUUUGCGAGAACACGUGUUUGUUAUGUUGACAGCGCUGGCUGGAGACCCAAAAGGGAAUGCGAGGAUCGCCGCUAGUGACGCAGAUAAGCUCAAAAAAUUCUAAUGACCUGAUUUCAGGCCUCUCGGCAGAAAAACAUCAGGAAUUCAGGAAUGCGUGGACGAUUUUAAUUCAUAUUUCACAUGUUUACUGAGGCACCAUAGAGACAAUAUUAUAUCCCAAAUACUAGAAAAAGUUGGUUUGGCAAAAUAUUUUCCCUUUAAAUUAUCAUUAAGAUUAUUUCGUUCAACCAAUGCUGUCAUUUCAAUGUCUUGGUAUUACCCAAACUGUAUUUUAAUUAUGCAUCACAGUUUAAAGAUUCAUAAUUUGUUUCCGAUUAGACACGUCUUGUCAUAGUAGUUAAGCGUACAGCUACAUUAAAUGACAACUGGCUAUACUGUUAAUUACGGCUCCUGUUAUCGAUAUUCAUUAACCUUUGCAUAAAUGUAUUCAUAUAUGAAAAUCAAGAUGUGUUUCAUGUAAACAUCCUCACCCAACUGGUCUCGACAAAGACCGAACAACUGAGUGCAGAGACAAAAUAAUUGCAACACUCAUUAGUUACAGUAUAUUGAUACCAUCAUACAUUUUCAAAGUGUCAAGCAUCAGCAUGCAGACAUCUACUGUACACUAACAAAUAAAAACUAUAACAGUAAAGCCACUACAAUGUAUCAUACCACACAAUUGAAAAUGUCCUGUUGAAUUCUGAACAAGCAAAUACAUAGAAAGCAUUUAACUAGCUCAGGCGGAGUUCUUACUUACCAAUGUGGCUUUCAAAGGUCAACCAAAAAGAUAUCUAUAUAUGUAUAUUUUUAGAAAGAAACAAAUAUUUUUUUCUGGCAAGACUUUGAACCUGAAAAUGUUCACAUUCAAACGUUUCUAUAUUUAUCCACACUACUUUUACUGUUGGAUGAUUUAGCCCUGGUUGUGAAGACCUCUAACAAGCCUAAUAUAAGAACAAUAAAACAACAGUAAUUGCUAUGAUGCUCCCUGUUACCAAUGGUUACGUGACCAAAGUUUUCAUUGUUAAUUAUUAACAUUUGUUAUAUUGAAUGAUUUUUAUUAUUUUUUCAUGACUCUUACUACAUGGUUUUAGGGGUCUGAGGUUUAAGUAUAUUGUAAAUAUAUAACUGUUAUUUUCUGCAUGAAUUUGAGGUUAAAAUUUGGUUCGGUUAAAUUUGAUGUAUAAAUAUUUAACAUUACAGACUCAAAGUUAAAAAAAGCAGAAAGCCCAGAGGACAGGUCUAGGCCAUCUGUUGUGCCCACAGAUACUCAGCCACGCACUCAAUGUACACAUGUGCACACGCGCACACACACACACACACACACACACACACACGCACGCACGCACACACGCACACGCACAUGCAGACACACACGGACUUUCCAUGUAAUAAUGUUUUUUUUUGUGCGUUCAUUUCGGUGCCUAUUUUUAUGUAUUUUUUACUCUACAAAUGAAUUUGCGUUCACAACACUAAUGGAAAGCGCCUUUGUUGCCACAGGAAAGACAGCUGCGCACACCUUGGACUUGCACGCGCAAGAAUGAAAUAUUAACAUGUUUCUACAUUCUGCAUCUGUAUUCAGAAAUGCUCAUUCUGAGUCUGUCAGCAACUAUAUAAUGAAAUUUUCACGUUUUUUAUGAUGCAUUAGAUGAACUGAUUUUCAGAGGGCAUCUUGGAGUAAGCCUGCCUGAUAGUGGGGAAAAAACAAGCUUCUGCAUAAGAAAGCGCUGGAAAUAUUGUAAUUGCUGAUGAAUAUUUAAGAGAAAAGGGUCAUUGGGGAAUUAAAUUAAAUAAAUACCAAUAUGCAUGGGAUUUAUAGGAAAAUUUACUUUUAAUGAGGUCAAACAAAGGGAAGGUAGGAAAGCUGUUGAUUUUUUUUUAAAAGAAAAUGACUAUUCACAAACCUAAUUAAAAAAAAAACUCUUCAGACAGGAUUGAGCCAGAGAUUCAGCAUGAGUGUGAUGAUUCCGUUUCUUAACUUUUGAGCUGAGUACAUUAAAUGUGUGACCAUGAUUUUCUCAGCCAUUAAUAAAAGUUAUACAGUAUUGUGUAAGAAAGAAAACUGUGUGCCAUCUAUAUUUUGUUCAAAACAUUAUGCCUACAAUGGUUCAGAUGGAACAGCAAUUAGAAAUAUUUGAUGUCACCAGUUAAAAGCGCUGAUGUUUUGCUAUCGUUCCUGUAAUUAAUAUAAUAGAUAUGUAACACUAAUAAAGCU